rnacentral:rRNA from 1 species
AUUGAACGCUGGCGUCAUGCCUUACACAUGCAAGUCGAACGGUAACAGGUCUUCGGAUGCUGACGAGUGGCGAACGGGUGAGUAAUACAUCGGAACGUGCCUAGUAGUGGGGGAUAACUACUCGAAAGAGUGGCUAAUACCGCAUCAGAUCUACGGAUGAAAGCAGGGGAUCGCAAGACCUUGUGCUACUAGAGCGGCCGAUGGCAGAUUAGGUAGUUGGUGGGAUAAAAGCUUACCAAGCCGACGAUCUGUAGCUGGUCUGAGAGGACGAUCAGCCACACUGGGACUGAGACACGGCCCAGACUCCUACGGGAGGCAGCAGUGGGGAAUUUUGGACAAUGGGCGCAAGCCUGAUCCAGCAAUGCCGCGUGCAGGAUGAAGGCCUUCGGGUUGUAAACUGCUUUUGUACGGAACGAAAAGCCCCGGGUUAAUACCCUGGGGUCAUGACGGUACCGUAAGAAUAAGCACCGGCUAACUACGUGCCAGCCGCCGCCGUAA